UAUUAGUAUCGGGUUAACCGCGGCUUUAUCAAACACAAAGCUUAUGGCUGAAGGUAUGUCUGGUAUUAUAUGCGGAAUUUUAUUUGCCACUUUGUGUUUCUUGCAAGUAAAUCAGAUCGAUGCAAAAAAUUGUCAUAAGCGCGAUUUAAAUGGAAAAUUAAAUUGCAAGUUUAAUCCAAAAAGUAUCAAAUCAAUGGAGUACUCUCAAAAGACAUUUGCUGAUUGUACCUGCAAAAUAACGUCAACAUGCACUAUUCCAUUGAAUCUAACAUUUGUGUGCGGAGAGAAUGGAAAAUGGCAAUUUACUGAAGGAGACCCCACAUGGUCUGUUUGGGCAGUUGAUUGCACCAAAUAUGGUUGUAUAAGUUGCUUGAUUUCAAAAAGGCACUACACAGACUGCUAUGUAUGCAGAAAGAAUGAAUACUCAUGCAAACACACUAAUGACACUAAAAUAUAUAGUCUGAAGUGUAAUAAAUAUGGAAACCUCAUCUCAAUAGAAUCAGAAUGUGGUAAAUCAGCGACUGAUUCCUCACAUUCACUAAACAUUCCCCUCACAAUUGGAUGUGCCGCAGUGGCAGUUGUUAUACUAUGUGCAGUAGUUUUAGCUUGCAAGUAUUAUUUCACAAGAGCAAAGCGUUUUGCAGUUACAGUUGACGGAGCCAGAAUUGCUAAAAAUCAAUUAUGAAAUAAUUACUAUAUCAAUAUCAAUAUAUAUGCCCUGUAAAAAACUAUUAUUGUAUUUAAUAGAUUAAUUUUAAGAUUUUAGUUGCAAACUGUGUUUAUUGAUCUAUCACAAAGGCAAUUCCUGCCUACAAUGAGAUACAUUCAAAAUUAUAAAAAUUUAAUAUUAAUUUUCAAAUUAAAAGAGAAUUCGUGUUAGAGUUUAUUUAUACUUCAUAAUUAUUAUUUACAUUACAUUUUAUAUAUUAUAUUUUUUGAGGAACAAGAACUUGUGCCAGAUAUAUUCAUGAUUAAUGUUAAUCUGUACCUAAAAAAUAUUUAUUUCAGAGCAGAUCCUCUUAGUACAUUUUAGUAGCAGUUGCAAUCUUAAGAUAUUUUGUAUUGAAUGUUUUACAGAAUUAAGAGAAGGUAACUUUUCCAAUUUAAAUAAACUAAUUAAUAAGCUGCAGUGAAAUAUUAUUUUUUUAAAUAUCCUACGCAAAAGAGCAAAUCAUUGGACAUUUUAUUAAAUUCGAGUUGAAUUAUUAAAAAUUCAAUUUGAAAUUUAUUGUAUAAUGUAAAUGCUUCACUGGUGAGAGUUUUUAAACCAACAAUAGCUAAAAAUUUCACAUUCCAUUGUUCAUUCAUGAUCAUUUGUGUUGUCGUUUAAUUGAGUCACAUGAUUUUGGCUUUUCCUUUAAAAACGUCUAAUUGUAA